rnacentral:rRNA from 1 species
GAGUUUGAUCCUGGCUCAGAUUGAACGCUAGCGGCGUGCUUAACACAUGCAAGUCGAACGAGAAAGGGACUUCGGUCCUGAGUAGAGUGGCGCACGGGUGAGUAACGCGUAGGUAAUCUACCUCUGCAUCUGGGAUAACACUUCGGAAGGGGUGCUAAUACCGGAUACACUUAUGGGUCGCAAGACCUAUAAGGAAAGGAGACGAUCCGCAAGGAGUUUCUGUGUAGAGAUGAGCCUGCGUCCCAUUAGCUAGUUGGCAGGGUAAGAGCCUACCAAGGCGACGAUGGGUAGCGGGUCUGAGAGGAUGAUCCGCCACACUGGAACUGAAACACGGACCAGACUCCUACGGGAGGCAGCAGUGAGGAAUAUUGGACAAUGGGCGCAAGCCUGAUCCAGCGACGCCGCGUGAGUGAUGGAGGCCUUUGGGUCGUAAAGCUCUGUCAGCAGGGAAGAACGGCCGUGUGGUUAAUACCCAUGCGGAUUGACGGUACCUGCAGAGGAAGCACCGGCUAACUCCGUGCCAGCAGCCGCGGUAAUACGGAGGGCGCGAGCGUUAAUCGGAAUUACUGGGCGUAAAGGGCGCGUAGGCGGCUGAUCAAGUCACGUGUGAAAGCCCACGGCUUAACCGUGUGAAGUGCAUCUGAAACUGGUCGGCUUGAGUAUC